AGCGAUAGACAAAUGGAUCACGAGUUGUCAGUAAGGCCUUGUAGAUGGCCUAAAGCAGACAUAUUGUGAUGUAAUGAGCCAGGUAACAUCAGAACUUCAUUACCCAGCAUGCACAGUAGACCCGUUUAGCCAUGCCAGCAGCGAGAUGUGUUUGAUUAGCACGCUGUGGAGUUAACUUUAAGAAGUCAGCCAACACGCCUCGUCUGUAUCUUUUAUUAUUGGAAGACAACACAUAUUUACAAGGCCAUUUUCAAGAAGGAUAUUCAAGGAGAAACUACAUCUUGUCGGCUAACACUGGAAGCUCGAAUGGAUUCUACAAAUUAGCCUGAGGAGAACAUCGGCCAGGAAGAAGAAGGAGAUGACGAGGGACACCGUCUCCAGAGAGUUUCCAACCCCUCUGCUCCUGGCCGGCAGGGAAAUGUCCACAAUGACCAGUACGAUGUCAACGAGGAUCAGUACUACUCCAAAUACACUGAGGAAGAAUGAAAAGACUUCAUAUUACCCUUCGAAAUUAGACAGUACUAUUUCAAAAGUUCCAAAAGACACUCACCGGAAUCCAAAGGACAUAACAAAGGGAGUAAUCUUCUUCCGGAUAUUGCUGCAAAAUUAGAUAAAAUCCUCAUUAUUAGCAUUUUACCAUUAAAAUUUCCAAAGUCAAAAAGAAUCUGUUCUGUUUAACAUUUUAUUAUGAGAAAACUAAAAUUCUGAAAAUGUCAUGUUCUUGUGUUUUUUCAUAAUUAAGCUCAAUAAAACAAAACAAAAAUA